GCGGUCAUGGCGGAAUUGGCAGACGCGCUGGCUUCAGGUGCCAGUGGUGUAACAACCGUGGAGGUUCGAGUCCUCUUGACCGCACCA
rnacentral:tRNA from 2 species